rnacentral:rRNA from 1 species
CAAGAGCGUAUAUUAAAGUUGCUGCGGUUAAAAAGCUCGUAGUUGGAUUUCAGUCUAGGAAGGUUAACUCGCCGAAAGGUUGUACGUUGAUUUUCCUCAGACUUCGUCAGAAGCUCGUGCUGCACUUAACUGUGUGGUACGAUGUUCUGACCUUUUACCUUGAGGAAAGUAGAGUGUUUCAGGCAGGCUACCCAGCUUGAAUACAUUAGCAUGGAAUAAUGAAAUGGAUCUCGGUUCGAUUUCGUUGGUUCUAGAGCUGAGGUGAUGAUCAAUAGGAACAGGCGAAGGUAUUCGUACUUGAGAGUGAGGAGUGAAAUCCGAUGAUCUCUUAAAGACGAUCCGAGGCGAAAGCAUUUGUCAAGGACGUUUUCAUUGA